UACGGGAGGCAGCAGUGGGGAAUCUUCCGCAAUGGGCGAAAGCCUGACGGAGCAACGCCGCGUGAGUGAAGAAGGUCUUCGGAUCGUAAAGCUCUGUUGUUGGGGACGAAUGUUACCUUUGAGAACAUUGGAGGUAAAUGACGGUACCUAACGAGGAAGCCACGGCUAACUACGUGCCAGCAGCCGCGGUAAU
rnacentral:rRNA from 1 species